GCGCGGGAUGGGCGACGAUCGCCGCCAGUCUUCCUGCGCGCUCUCUCUCUCGCUUUCUCUCUCUCUCUAUCUAUCUCUCUCGUUCUUUUUCUCUCGGGUUCUGAGCCGCACAGCCGGAGGGUCUCUCACGGGCUUCUCAGCUCUGCUCUGGGGUCUCCGCGAGCCCCCCUGGAACGAAGGGAUGCAAGGAGAGAGGGAUGAGGAGGGACGAGCUCGCCGAGCGCGAGGAGAAAAUGAUGACCAUCCAGCCUUACGGCAGCACCCACAGGCAAAGCUGUUCUCCAACCACAUAAAAAUAGCAGUGACCCUGGUGGUGUGCUUCGGAUAAUUGUCCUGCUGCAGAACCCAAGUAUGCCUGAGCUUAAGGACGUAAACUGAUGGCCGGACAUUCUCCUUCAGGAUUUUUUGAGAGAGAGCAGAAUUCACGGUUCCAUCAAUUACAGCAGUUGCUUGGACCGAAGCAGAGAGACAGUUUGACCGUUAGGAAAACUGAAGCUGUGUACCCCCGGCUCCCCCUGCCCCCCCUGCCCCCCACCGGCCUGGCAGGAAUGGUAAGCCCGGUGACAGGUUAGCAGCCAGUCAGCCGAGCAGUUGGGGGCUCAGAGAGGCAGGUGGGCAGCACACAGGCAGAUAUACGGGGCAGACGACAGGAAGACAGACAGACGUACAGAGCGACAGGCCGCGGGCAGGCAGCAGCGGCAGCAGCAGCAGCGGGGGUAGGUGCCUGGGUGUCCGCUUGGCUGUAGAAGAACAGAUGUGUGGUGAA